AUGGGGAACUGGAGGUGUUGCACUAGCGGCUGCAGUACGCUUUGCAUUCUUUAUCAUUUUCUCACGGUGUUUGGCAAAAACGAGAAAAUUGAGCUAUUAAGUGUGAUAAAGUAUAUUGAGAUUUAUAAUUUGAGGUGCAAAAUUAAAGGAGUAGUUGUAAUCAAUGACAUGAAUCAGUCAGAAAAGUGCUACCAGGAGAUAAUUGUCAAUGUCCAGGCUUGCUGCUUGGCAUCCCUGCCAUCUUCACUGUUUUCAGGAGGAAAAUCUUCACCUGUGGUAAAUGAUGGCGUGGUUCGUUUGCAAGGACUUCCUUACAGUUGCAAUGAAAAAGACAUUGUAGACUUCUUUGCAGGACUGAAUAUAGUAGACAUUACUUUUGUUAUGGACUACAGAGGACUGAGAAAAACAGGGGAAGCCUAUGUGCAGUUUGAAGAACCAGAAAUGGCCAACCAAGCCCUGUUGAAGCAUAGGGAAGAAAUUGGUAAUGAUACAUAGAGAUAUUUCCGAGCAGAAGGAAUGAAGUUCGAACCCAUGUUGGUUCGCAUAAGGGAAAGAAAAUUGCGUCUUCUCCUCCUGCCAAGUAUAUAACUGAGCCAGAAAUGGUAUUUGAAGAACAUGAAGUAAAUGAAGAUGUGCGACCCCUCACAGCAUUUGAAAAUGAGAAGGAAAUAGAGUUGCCCAAGGAAAUGUCAGAAAAGCUUCCAGAGGCUGUUGAUUUUGGAGCUACACCUUCACUACAUUUUGUUCACAUGAGAGGAUUGCCUUUCCAAGCUAAUGCCCAAGACAUUAUAAAUUUUUUUGCUCCACUGAAGCCUGUUAGAAUCACCAUGGAAUACAGCUCCAGUGGGAAGGCCACUGGAGAAGCUGACGUGCACUUUGACACUCACGAGGAUGCUGUUGCAGCUGUGCUCAAGGAUCGCUCCCACGUUCAACAUAGGUAUAUUGAACUGUUCCUGAAUUCAUGUCCAAAAGGAAAAUAAGACUUCCAGGGACUCCAUUAAAAUGAUGAAGCAAGAAGCAUUUCAUUUGCACAUCUUCCUUGGACAUGGGAUACAAAGUUCCAGUUUAUUAGUAGCAACUGCUUGAAGAAAGGACUUUGGGUAUUUGGUAUAUUACAUCUGAGAGAAAUAUCAUAAUGGACUGUUUAGAAAAGGAAAGAAGAGAUUCUGUUUGAGAUUAUGAAAUAAACCACAAAUACAAUUUUUG